UUGGAGGGCAAGUCUGGUGCCAGCAGCCGCGGUAAUUCCAGCUCCAAUAGCGUAUAUUAAAGUUGUUGCAGUUAAAAAGCUCGUAGUUGAAUUUCGGGAUUCAUCCGUUGGUCGGGCUUCACGGUCCGUACUGGUGUGAUGGGUUCCUACCUUCUGAAUAACCGGCAUGCCAUUAAUUUGGUGCGCCGGGGAAGCAGAACUAUUACCUUGAAAAAAUUAGAGUGCUUAAAGCAGGCAAGUGCCUGAAUAGGUUAGCAUGGAAUAAUAAAAUAGGACGGCAUGGUUCUAUUUUGUUGGUUUCUAGGAUCACCGUAAUGAUUAAUAGGAAUAGUUGGGGGCAUUAGUAUUCAAUUGUCAGAGGUGAAAUUCUUGGAUUUAUUGAAGACUAACUUCUGCGAAAGCAUUUGCCAAGGAUGUUUUCAUUAAUCAAGAACGAAAGUUAGGGGAUCGAAGACGAUCAGAUACCGUCGUAGUCUUAACCAUAAACUAUGCCGACUAGGGAUCGGACGAUGUUAAUUUUUUAAUGACUCGUUCGGCGCCUUACGGGAAA
rnacentral:rRNA from 1 species